UACAGGGGGUGCAAACGUUGCUCGGAAUCAUUGGGCGUAAAGCGCACGUAGGCCGUUCGUUAUGUCGGAUGUGAAAGCCCUUGGCUUAACCGAGGAAGUGCAUCCGAAACUGGCGAGCUAGAGUACGAAAGAGGAUCGCGGAAUUCCCGGUGUAGAGGUGAAAUUCGUAGAUAUCGGGAGGAGCACCGGUGGCGAAGGCGGCGAUCUGGGCCGAUACUGACGCUGAGGAGCGAAAGCGUGGGGAGCAAACAGG
rnacentral:rRNA from 1 species